rnacentral:lncRNA from 1 species
GCUCUUUAAUUGCGACAUUAAUUAAUUAAUUAAUUUUUAAACCAAUACUUCUCAUUAAUCUUUUAUCUCCCCACUAUUCUUUUUCCACACACCCCCUUCUUCUAUUCUGAAUUUGCAAGUCACUAUAUUUAUUAUUAUUAUUUGGUUAACAUAUUUAAGACCCAUCAACUUUUUUUUGAUACUCUCUCUAAUUUACAAAAUUUUUAUUCGAGUUAUUAUUGCAGUAACAUAAUUUUUUUUUUUU